rnacentral:rRNA from 1 species
UACGGGGGGGGCAAGCGUUGUUCGGAAUUACUGGGCGUAAAGGGCUCGUAGGCGGCCAACUAAGUCAGACGUGAAAUCCCUCGGCUCAACCGGGGAACUGCGUCUGAUACUGGAUGGCUUGAAUCCGGGAGAGGGAUGCGGAAUUCCAGGUGUAGCGGUGAAAUGCGUAGAUAUCUGGAGGAACACCGGUGGCGAAGGCGGCAUCCUGGACCGGCAUUGACGCUGAGGAGCGAAAGCCAGGGGAGCAAACGGG